rnacentral:tRNA from 1 species
UGUUUAGUGGCUGAAGAUAAGCGUAAAUCUUUUAAAUUUAUUAUAGUUAAAUCUCUAAACAA